rnacentral:rRNA from 1 species
GACGAACGCUGGCGGCGUGCUUAACACAUGCAAGUCGAGCGGAAAGGCCCUUUCGGGGGUACUCGAGCGGCGAACGGGUGAGUAACACGCGAGUAGACUUCCCUUGACUUUGGGAUAACCCCGUGAGACCGGGGCUAAUACCGCGUAUGACCUUGCCGGGCGUCUGGUGGGGUGGAAAGCAUUUGUAGUCAGGGAGGGGCUUGCGGCCUAUCAGGUUGUUGGUGGGGGGAUGGCCUACCAAGGCGAGGACGGGUAGGCGGCCUGAGAGGGCGGACGGCCCCACUGGGACUGAGACACGGCCCAGACUCCUACGGGAGGCAGCAGUGGGGAAUAUUGCAAAAUGGGCGGAAGCCUGAUGCAGAGACGUCGCGUGAGGGAUGACGGCCUUCGGGUUGUAAACCUCUCUCGACAGGGAGGAAGCGUGAGUGACGGUACCUGGAGAAGAAGCGCCGGCCAACUACGUGCCAGCAGCCGCAGUAAUAC